rnacentral:rRNA from 1 species
GAAGGGGGCUAGCGUUGCUCGGAAUUACUGGGCGUAAAGGGCGCGUAGGCGGACAGUUUAGUCAGAGGUGAAAGCCCAGGGCUCAACCUUGGAACUGCCUUUGAUACUGACUGUCUUGAGUUCGGGAGAGGUGAGUGGAAUGCCGAGUGUAGAGGUGAAAUUCGUAGAUAUUCGGCGGAACACCAGUGGCGAAGGCGACUCACUGGCCCGAUACUGACGCUGAGGCGCGAAAGCGUGGGGAGCAAACAGGAUUAGAUACCCUGGUAGUCCACGCUGUAAACGAUGAGUGCUAGUUGUCGGCAUGCAUGCAUGUCGGUGACGCAGCUAACGCAUUAAGCACUCCGCCUGGGGAGUACGGUCGCAAGAUUA